rnacentral:rRNA from 1 species
CUUAACAUUCACACUUUAGAUAAAAUAAGCCCAACUUCGUCUUAUCUCAGAAGCUAAGCAGGGUUGGGCCUGGUUAGUACUUGGAUGGGAGGCCACCUAGGAAGACCAAGUGCUGUAGGC